rnacentral:rRNA from 1 species
GAUGAACGCUGGCGGCGUGCCUAAUACAUGCAAGUCGAGCGAACGGACGAGAAGCUUGCUUCUCUGAUGUUAGCGGCGGACGGGUGAGUAACACGUGGAUAACCUACCUAUAAGACUGGGAUAACUUCGGGAAACCGGAGCUAAUACCGGAUAAUAUUUUGAACCGCAUGGAUCAAAAGUGAAAGACGGUCUUGCUGUCACUUAUAGAUGGAUCCGCGCUGCAUUAGCUAGUUGGUAAGGUAACGGCUUACCAAGGCAACGAUGCAUAGCCGACCUGAGAGGGUGAUCGGCCACACUGGAACUGAGACACGGUCCAGACUCCUACGGGAGGCAGCAGUAGGGAAUCUUCCGCAAUGGGCGAAAGCCUGACGGAGCAACGCCGCGUGAGUGAUGAAGGUCUUCGGAUCGUAAAACUCUGUUAUUAGGGAAGAACAUAUGUGUAAGUAACUGUGCACAUCUUGACGGUACCUAAUCAGAAAGCCACGGCUAACUACGUG